UAUGCAUUGUAUUUUUAGGUCCC
rnacentral:miRNA from 1 species